rnacentral:lncRNA from 1 species
GCCAAGUGGGCAAGCCUCCUCCCUCCUGGGAUGGACUGUGGUUGGUUCUUCUUGUUUCUCAGGUAUGGUGCUUAGAAAUUCUUUGUUUAUGACUGUGAUUGCAGUGAUGGUAUCUUACUUGCUUGCUCCUGAAUAUGUAGGUGAAGAAAUGUUCCAUGGCUGAGACUAAUUGGCAGGUUACAAGACGUGAGCUUGGUACAUGCAUUGAUGACUGCAAAGUAGGCAUCAAGAUUCAGAUUUUUCUUUUGAAACACGAGCAGGGCUCUGCCAUUAUCAUAUAAGAAGGGAGCAAACACACGUUUUACAUUGUUUUGCUACAUGAAUAACCAACACCGCAAACACAGAAUAAGGAUGAGCCACUCAUUAUGGAGCUUCUGGCCGCUUGCAUGCACGCUUCAGAUUUUAUUAUUCUGGACCAAUUUUUGGUGCAACAUCAAGGCAAAGAUAGUGGACUAGUGGUUGGGC